CAGUCGCCACGGUAAUACGUAGGGUGCAAGCGUUAAUCGGAAUUACUGGGCGUAAAGCGUGCGCAGGCGGUUAUAUAAGUCAGAUGUGAAAUCCCCGGGCUCAACCUGGGAACUGCAUUUGAGACUGUAUGGCUAGAGUGUGUCAGAGGGGGGUAGAAUUCCACGUGUAGCAGUGAAAUGCAUAGAUAUGUGGAGGAAUACCGAUGGCGAAGGCAGCCCCCUGGGAUAACACUGACGCUCAUGCACGAAAGCGUGGGGAGCAAACAGGAUUAGAUACCCCCGUAGUCCCUGUCUCUUAUAC
rnacentral:rRNA from 1 species